GUAAGGAGCGUGAGAACAAAGGUCUGUGUCUGUAGAGCUGAGUUCUAGAAUCAGGUGAUUCUAAAGUUCCCAUGGAGGCUCUGGAUGAGAUAUGUGGACUCACCCCAUCAUUAAAACACAACCUCUCACAAGCAUGUCUUAGCAGGCUCCGUGGAUCCAUCACAUCAGUCUUGUUAUUUUGUAUAUUUGGCUGAUGGCAGAUUGAGCUCAUCAUUUGCACAAUUCCAGCUGUUCCAUCUUCGAGAAGAGGCCCUGGAUUCCUGAAGGCUGAUACCUGAAUUACUCCCAGACUCCCUUGGGGUGUGUGUAUGGAGGCAAAGCUGAGAACUUGCUCCCCAAUAUCUAAGACUUUAUCAUGGAUCCCUAUUGUAUGUAUGUGGGUCUGACCCUGGGCCAAGGAAGGCAGCACAGCACUGGAGAACGGUGCUGAAUUUGCACCCUAGACAUUCAGUCUGAUCUUGCUUCUGCUUCCUGGACAACCUUCAGAGUGAAUACGCUGUACACUGAGAUGGAAGACUGGUUUUCGUAUUAGUGGUGUGAUCUUGGGCAAGUCGUACCACUCUGGGCUACAGUUUCUUAAAAUAUCUCAUCGAGGACUGUAUCUUGGAUCUCUUCCUUCUGGUCCAGCAAGAAUAAUCCAAGAGCCUGAAGGACCCUCCACAGGCUAGAUCGGAUGAACUGCUUGGCUCGCUAAGAGCGGGCGCCAUAUGUCUUAUUCAUCAGGAUGGGGAGCGGUGACAGCUGGAGGCCUUUGGGGACAAACCUUGGCUUGGCCCGGGAUCUGGAGACAAUCUGUGACUGGGGGAGGAAAAGGGGGGAAGAAGAGGACGCUGGGAGGAAGGUCCUUGGCCCUGGAGGAUGAGGGUAGUUAGCGGGAGAUUUAUGGGUGACGGGAACCCGAGGUCCUGUUUUCAGGCUCUUGAGGGCUAAUGAGGAGGGGCCAUCUCUAGAGUAUUUUUGCUUCUGAGUUCUCCUUUGCACCCUUAUUAGAACCCAUGUCUAACGCUUUGAACAUCUGCCUCGGGCCAUUUUCUGAUCAUUAUCGCUGGCAACUCAGCUCCUGCCAAAUCUUCAGCUACUCAGAGGCUCUUCAAAAAUACAAUACUUCAGUUAAUAUGCUAAUAAAAACAAGGAUCAUAGAACAAUGUGUACGGAUAAAUAAAUAGAAUUGGCCCUGCCCCUGCAUACAAAUGGGCUGGAGCAAGGGCUUUUGUUUCAUGUGUAUAAAUGGAGAACUAAGGAAAUCCAGUGGAUGGAAUCUCAGGCUUGCAGGCAUUAAGCCUUAGCUUCCUAUCUAGCUCUGGUGCUUCCUAAGCACAUGACCCUCCACCAGUCCCUUAGCCUCUGUAUGGCUCAGGGUUUGUCUACUAAGAUACUUUCAGAGCUGGAAGA